UGGCGACCGGCGCACGGGUGCGUAACGCGUAUGCAACCUACCUUUAACGGGGGGAUAACACUGAGAAAUUGGUACUAAUACCCCAUAAUAUCAUAGAAGGCAUCUUUUAUGGUUGAAAAUUCCGAUGGUUAGAGAUGGGCAUGCGUUGUAUUAGCUAGUUGGUGGGGUAACGGCUCACCAAGGCGACGAUACAUAGGGGGACUGAGAGGUUAACCCCCCACACUGGUACUGAGACACGGACCAG
rnacentral:rRNA from 1 species